rnacentral:rRNA from 1 species
UACAGAGGUCCCAAGCGUUGUUCGGAUUCACUGGGCGUAAAGGGUGCGUAGGUGGUCAGGUAAGUCGGAUGUGAAUCUCCGAGCUCAACUCGGAAACUGCAUUGGAAACUACCUGGCUCGAGGGUUGGAGGGGGACUGGAAUGCUUGGUGUAGCAGUGAAAUGCGUAGAUAUCAAGCGGAACACCAGUGGCGAAGGCGGAGUCCCUGGACAACUCCUGACACUGAUGCACGAAAGCUAGGGGAGCAAACAGG